GAAAGCCGUGUGAGGGAAAACCUCACGCACGGUUUGAUGAGGGGGUGGUGGGAACGUGAGUAAAGAAAAUAAUUCUCAACGCACCACUGCUCCACUCUAC
rnacentral:ncRNA from 1 species